ACUUAUCUGACGAGUCCCAAAUAGGACGAGACGUGUUUCCUGUAU
rfam:Schistosoma margrebowiei strain Zambia genome assembly, scaffold: SMRZ_scaffold0001167